CCUACGGGUGGCAGCAGUGAGGAAUAUUGGUCAAUGGGCGCGAGCCUGAACCAGCCAAGUCGCGUGAGGGAAGAAGGUCCUGCGGAUCGUAAACCUCUUUUGUCAGGGAACAAAGGCGGGCACUAGUCCCCUGAUGAGGGUACCUGAAGAAAAAGCAUCGGCUAACUCCGUGCCAGCAGCCGCGGUAAUACGGAGGAUGCGAGCGUUAUCCGGAUUUAUUGGGUUUAAAGGGUGCGCAGGCGGACUGUUAAGUCAGCGGUAAAAGCCCGGGGCUCAACCCCGUCGAGCCGUUGAAACUGGCGGGCUGGAGUGGGCGAGAAGUACGCGGAAUGCGCGGUGUAGCGGUGAAAUGCUUAGAUAUCGCGCAGAACCCCGAUUGCGAAGGCAGCGUACCGGCUCCAAACUGACGCUGAGGCACGAAAGCGUGGGUAUCGAACAGGAUUAGAUACCCGAGUAGUC
rnacentral:rRNA from 1 species